GAUGAACGCUGGCGGCGUGCCUAAUACAUGCAAGUCGAGCGAACAGACGAGGAGCUUGCUCCUCUGACGUUAGCGGCGGACGGGUGAGUAACACGUGGAUAACCUACCUAUAAGACUGGGAUAACUUCGGGAAACCGGAGCUAAUACCGGAUAAUAUAUUGAACCGCAUGGUUCAAUAGUGAAAGACGGUUUUGCUGUCACUUAUAGAUGGAUCCGCGCCGCAUUAGCUAGUUGGUAAGGUAACGGCUUACCAAGGCAACGAUGCGUAGCCGACCUGAGAGGGGGAUCGGCCACCCGGGAACGGAGACACGGUCCAGACUCCUACGGGAGGCAGCAGUAGGGAAUCUUCCGCAAUGGGCGAAAGCCUGACGGAGCAACGCCGCGUGAGUGAUGAAGUUCUUCGGAUCGUAAAACUCUGUUAUUAGGGAAGAACAAAUGUGUAAGUAACUAUGCACGUCUUGACGGUACCUAAUCAGAAAGCCACGGCUAACUACGUG
rnacentral:rRNA from 1 species